UGUUGAAUGAUGAAAAAAAUCAGACGGAUUCCCAUUGAUAUUGUUAAUACAUGAUAUCGCAACCAGCUACUUCUGACAGCA